GCUUACGGCCACACCGCCUGGUUCAAGCCCGAUCUCGGAAGCUAAGAUAGGUUGGGCCUGGUUAGUACUUGGAUGGGAGACCCUCUGGGAAUACCAGGUGCUGUAAGCU
rnacentral:rRNA from 1 species